rnacentral:rRNA from 1 species
CAAUAGCGUAUAUUAAAGUUGUUGCAGUUAAAAAGCUCGUAGUUGGAUUUCUGGUUGAAGCGACCGGUCGGGCGUUGAUUCGUCUGCACUGGAGUCGGUUUUGGCCAUCCUCUAGGAAAGUGCGUCUGGUAUUAAGUUGUCGGGCGUAUGAUCCUGGUCUUUUACUGUGAAAAAAUUAGAGUGUUUAAAGCAGGCCUUCGCCUUGAAUACAUUAGCAUGGAAUAAUAAGAUAGGACUUUGGUCUAUUUUGUUGGUUUGCAGACCGAAGUAAUGAUUAAUAGGGAUAGUUGGGGGUAUUUAUAUUCCGAUGUCAGAGGUGAAAUUCUUAGAUUUUCGGAAGAUAAACUUAUGCGAANGNAUUUACNAAGGAUGUUUNCAUUA